CUUUAAUCCGUUCCGAUCUGAAAUAGAUUCAGAUUAGACGGUUAAUAGAAGAAAUGGUGGCAGGAGAAGAUUCAAUAGGAAAUUCUUUAUCAGAAAAAGGUGAAGUUGUUCGUGUAUAUGCAGAUGGUAUUUAUGAUCUAUUUCAUCUCGGUCAUGCUAGAUACCUUGAACAUUCUAAGAAAUCGUUAAAUCCAUUGGAAAAUUCAAGGAAACUAGUGAAAAAAUGGCAUAUCAACAUCAGAUGUUAUAAUGAAAUAUUGAAAGACUACAACGAAUAUGUAAUGUGUAAUUUAUCAAGGAUACCUAAGGAAGGAGCUUGGUGUUAGCUAUAUGAAGGACAAGCAAUUAGAGUGAACAUGGGAAUUACCAAAUUUCGCGAGAGAGUGAAAGAGCAUCAAGAAAAGAUUUUGAUUAAACUAUUCAUGGCAUUAAGAUCUGAUGAAAAGAUAGUCACGAUCUUGAUCAAGAAUGCUCAAAUGUUCCCAAGAAUGCUAAAUUUGUUAUGAAUGAAAACAUGGUUCAUUUUUUCGA